CCGGGUUGUGUGUUGUGCUGGGGAGCGCAGCCACGUGUCCGACUCGCACAGAGCCCAACACCCUGUUCUGAGCAGCAGGGACCAAGUCCCAGCUCCUGUCUCUAAAGGUGGUCUGUUAACUCUGCUUCUGACUGUAAACCCUGAUGGGCCAAAGCAUCUUUAACCACCCGAACUAUUCUACACACUGUUAGGUCCAAGGAAAAUGGAAUAUAGAACAAGUUGUUUGGCCAGCUUAGCCAAAGUUAGGCUAACUGUAGUUGCUGGGCCAUUCCUGUCUCUCUCUGAAACAUGAGGACAUGCUUGCUUGGGCUUCAAAGAAUGAGAUAAAGGGGGGGCCGUAUUCUUGUACCAAAUGUACUAGGAACGGUUUGUUUGGACAUAUGGAGACUUACAGUCUCUACUCCCAGUUUCUGUUCUUAACUCCCUCCUUUCUCCUAGUUUCUGGUGCACGACAAAAAAGCUGAUAAGAAGCUGCUGAGGCAUCAUGAACUGUUUGUACUGUCAAAGAACAUAGAUAUGCAUGAAUAUUAGAAGCUUUUAACUAGUAAAGGGGGGGAUUAGGUUGCUUUAACUAUGACGCGACGGAACUGUUUAUAUAAUCUCACUAGUUAUUGUAAUUGUGGCUGGUUCUCUCUGGAGACGGGCCGCUCUCUAUUGUUGUGUGCACUCUUCAAUAAAGAGCUUGUGUUUGGACCUUG